UACGGGGGGAGCAAGCGUUGUUCGGAUUUACUGGGCGUAAAGGGCGCGUAGGCGGCUACCGCAAGUCGACUGUGAAAUCUCCGGGCUUAACCCGGAAAGGUCAGCCGAUACUGCGGGGCUAGAGUGCAGAAGGGGCAACUGGAAUUCUCGGUGUAGCGGUGAAAUGCGCAGAUAUCAGGAGGAACACCAAUUGCGAAGGCAGCUCGCUGGGACGUUACUGACGCUGAGACGCGAAAGCGUGGGGAGCAAACAGG
rnacentral:rRNA from 1 species